rnacentral:misc_RNA from 1 species
UCACCCCUCAAGCUCAGCUUGUUGUUGGGCCUCGGUCGUGAUAGACCGGCCCCCAAAGACAAUGACGGCGUCCACGAGACCCCCGGUACAAUGAGCUUUUAACGAGGCACGUACUGCGGGCGGGCUUGGGGACACGGUCCAACCACAUUUUUCUAA